GCGGGCAUGGCGGAAUUGGCAGACGCGCCAGACUUAGGAUCUGGUGGGGUUUCCCGUGGGGGUUCAAGUCCCUUUGCCCGCACCA
rnacentral:tRNA from 4 species